UUGUCCGGAAUCACUGGGCGUAAAGGGCGCGUAGGUGGCUACCCAAGUCGAUGGUGAAAGCUCGUCGCUCAACGACGAGUCGGCCACCGAUACUGGGUUGCUCGAGCACUGUAGAGGCAGAUGGAAUUCCGGGUGUAGCGGUGGAAUGCGUAGAGAUUGGAAAGAACACCGAUGGCGAAGGCACUUUACUGGGCUAUUACUAACACUCAGAGACGAAAGCUAGGGUAGCAAAUGGG
rnacentral:rRNA from 1 species